rnacentral:rRNA from 1 species
GCCUAACUAUAACACAACAAUUAAACCACCAAUUGUUCGCCAAAUAACUACGAGUAAAAACUUAAAAUUUAAAAGACUUGACGGUAUCUCACAACAGCCUAGAGGAGCCUGUCCAAUAACCGAUACCCCGCGAUUAACCCAACCCCCUCUAGCCUAACAGUCUAUAUACCGCCGUCGCCAGCCUACCUUAUGAAAGAAACAAAGUGAGCAAAAUAGUCAUUACUAACACGACAGGUCGAGGUGUAACUCAUGAAGGGGUUAAGAUGGGCUACAUUUUCUAACACAGAAAAUACGAACUAACUAUGAAAUAAGAAACCGAAGGCGGAUUUAGCAGUAUAAUAAGGACAAAACACUUAAUCGAAACUAACGCAAUGAGAUGCGUACACACCGCCCGUCAUCCCUGUUAAAUAACCAAUUACAUCCAUAAACACAACCACUUCCACAAAGCAGGGCAAGUCGUAACAUGGUAAGCGUACUGGAAAGUGCGCUUAGAAA